rnacentral:lncRNA from 1 species
GGAAAUUUGAAAUCUUUUUCAAGAAUUCACAAACUGUUUCUAUUCUGAUUGCCAGUUCAAGAUGACAGAUAGAGAACAUGUAUUAAACUUCCUUCCUCUUCAACCCCAUUAAAUUAUAGGAAAUGUGUACUAAAUAAAAUAAGUCCAAAUAGCACAGGGCCAUCAGUAGUCCAGAGACUAUGAGGAAUCCAAACUGAAAGACAGGUUUGAAAUUUUUCUGGAGGAAAAAAUUAGUGGGAACUCUCUUCCUGGUAGAAUCUCUAAUAGCUCUGUGUGAGACACUCAUGGGAAAAAUGAGAAGGCUUAUAAUUUUGUUAAAGAUCUGCCCACUUUAAAAACAGGGAGUGGUAAAAGACAAACUCAAUCUAAUUCCAACCCCAACUUUCAUGGGUACAAAGACUGUAAGUUCAAGCUAAACAAAGCUCUUUUUAAAGAGAUUAAAAGCUAUGUGAGGGGAAGGCAGAGCAGUUAGAGGGGGUGGGGGUGGUUGCUGAUUCAAUUCCUUCUGCUUCUCAGCUCUAGGUGUCUAUUAUGCAGAAGGAAGCUUGCCACCUGAACACUGGAAAACAUCUGACUCUGGAGAAAACAGAGAUAGUUGAGAAGAAAAGGAACCUUAUUCACAGGAAAACAGAAUGACAGACUGCAAAUAACACAGACCACAGGAGUUAGAUGAGUUUGUGAUUUCCAAACUGGGUGAACUUGGGCCAGUUGUUUAGAUUUAUAGAGGUUGUGUAUCUCACUUGAAAAAUAGGAAUUUUUUUUUCUAUCUUACUGGUUGUGAAAACUGAACAUAACAGUGAAUGUAAUAUAUAUCUUAGA